rnacentral:rRNA from 1 species
AUUGAACGCUGGCGGCAUGCCUUACACAUGCAAGUCGAACGGCAGCACGGGAGCAAUCCUGGUGGCGAGUGGCGAACGGGUGAGUAAUAUAUCGGAACGUGCCCAGUCGUGGGGAUAACGUAGCGAAAGCUACGCUAAUACCGCAUACGAUCUAUGGAUGAAAGCGGGGGAUCGCAAGACCUCGCGCGAUUGGAGCGGCCGAUAUCAGAUUAGGUAGUUGGUGAGGUAAAGGCUCGCCAAGCCGACGAUCUGUAGCUGGUCUGAGAGGACGACCAGCCACACUGGGACUGAGGACACGGCCCAGACUCCUACGGGAGGCAGCAGUGGGGAAUUUUGGACAAUGGGCGCAAGCCUGAUCCAGCAAUG